UUACAGAUCCAGUCUCAUGAAGUAUUUUGACCAUCUCGUAACAGGUUGUGUGUCUUCAGAAGUCUUAGUCUACAGAAGUAGAGGGUGCUCAAGUCUUUUGGGGGAAAGAAAAAAUACAUGAGGAGUAAGCUGAAGAAACAUUUAAAAGGAAGUGGGAGAUUCUGUAAUGUAAUUGGAAUGGAAAUAGCAUUAUGGAUGGUGCUUACUUGUCUUUCAGAGGCCAAGGGCAUGGAAGGGGUGUUCAUAGAAGAGCACGAAUGAGGUAUGAUAACGGUAAACAGGAGUGUGCUAAACAAUCAUAUCCUGUAACUUUGAAGAAGGAACUGAAGUUAUUCACUUCUGUUUAAAACUCAUAUCAAGUGUUAAAAGAUGUGCACCAUAUACCCCUGUGAUGAAAUCAGUCGACCUGGGAUUUUUGCAGCCAGAUCAACAGUUGUGGAAGUUGCAUAAUUCAUGUGAUUUUGUAGCAUUCCUUUCCUUGUUGUCAUACUUGUCUUUGGUGUUUUUUGACAUCUCUUUGUAAAAUAAACCCAUCUUUCUC